CCGAUGAAUGCGAGAGGAACUACAUGAUUCGUUGGUCGCCGGUUCGAUUCCGGUCUCAACCGCAAGGUUGGGUAGCUCAGUGGCAGAGCAGCGGAAUGUUUCUCCAAAACUUGUCAUCGGCUU
rnacentral:Y_RNA from 1 species